CGCGAUACAGGGUGACAGCCCCGUACACAAAAGCGCAUGUGCUGUGAGCUCGAUGAGUAGGGCGGGACACGUGGUAUCCUGUCUGAAUAUGGGGGGACCAUCCUCCAAGGCUAAAUACUCCUGACUGACCGAUAGUGAACCAGUACCGUGAGGGAAAGGCGAAAAGAACCCCGGCGAGGGGAGUGAAAAAGAACCUGAAACCGUGUACGUACAAGCAGUGGGAGCACAGGUUUACCUGUGUGACUGCGUACCUUUUGUAUAAUGGGUCAGCGACUUAUAUUCUGUAGCAAGGUUAACCGUAUAGGGGAGCCGAAGGGAAACCGAGUCUUAACCGGGCGUUAAGUUGCAGGGUAUAGACCCGAAACCCGGUGAUCUAGCCAUGGGCAGGUUGAAGGUUGGGUAACACUAACUGGAGGACCGAACCGACUAAUGUUGAAAAAUUAGCGGAUGACCUGUGGCUGGGGGUGAAAGGCCAAUCAAACCGGGAGAUAGCUGGUUCUCCCCGAAAGCUAUUUAGGUAGCGCCUCGUGAAUUCAUCUCCGGGGGUAGAGCACUGUUUCGGCUAGGGGGCCAUCCCGGCUUACCAACCCGAUGCAAACUGCGAAUACCGGAGAAUGUUAUCACGGGAGACACACGGCGGGUGCUAACGUCCGUCGUGAAGAGGGAAACAACCCAGACCGCCAGCUAAGGUCCCAAAGUCAUGGUUAAGUGGGAAACGAUGUGGGAAGGCCCAGACAGCCAGGAUGUUGGCUUAGAAGCAGCCAUCAUUUAAAGAAAGCGUAAUAGCUCACUGGUCGAGUCGGCCUGCGCGGAAGAUGUAACGGGGCUAAACCAU
rnacentral:rRNA from 1 species